AAUCGAGGACAACACCGGCAUCAUAUCCGAGGAGCCACACGGCACGGAAAGUGACUCUGACAGUGAAGAAAGUGAACCUGGCAUGUCUGUUGGAGAUUUAGCACUGCUGUUCAAUUCGGAAACAGAGGAUGAGGACUUCGAUGGGUUUAAUUGAUGACCAUUACCGGUCAUAAAAAUGUGAAUACCAAACUC